AUGCAUGACUGCCACCACACAAAGGACGCCGGGGCGCACGGUCGUCCUUCUCCACCACCUACGCGAUGCAGCCGUGUCCGCCACCCUCGAAGUGAAGCCCUGCUCCAGCCACAACGGCGCCGCCCCAUGCUCCCUUCCCCUGCUCCACAACCAAGCCGUUUCCCGUGCUCCUCCACUAAUCCUCAAUCGUGGGAUCCAGAUGCGGCACGUACGCGCGCGGAGCCGUCCAGAUCGGGCACGGACGCGCGCGGAGGCGUCCAGAUCAGGCAAGGAUGCGCAUUGUAG
rnacentral:rRNA from 1 species